GACGAACGCUGGCGGCGUGCUUAACACAUGCAAGUCGAACGGAAAGACCCUGCUUGGGUGGGGUUCUCGAGUGGCGAACGUGUGAGUAACACGGGAAUAACCUGCCCUUGACUUUGGUAGAACUUCAGGAAGCUGGGUCUAAUACCAGAUAGUAGCACCUGCUCCAGGUUGGGGGUUGGAAGGAUUCGGCGGUUGGGGAUGGACUCGGGGCUGAUCAGCUUGUUGGUGGGGUAGUGGCUUACCAAGGCUUUGGCGGGGAGCCGGCCUGAGCGGGUGACGGGACCGAUUGGGACGGAGAUGCGGCACAGCCUACUCCGGGAGGCAGGAGUGGGGAAUAUUGCACAAUGGGAGGAAGCCUGAUGCAGUAACGCAGCGUGCGGGAUGACGGCAUUCGGGUUGUAAACCGCUUUCCCCUGUGCAGAAGCGUGAGUGACGGUAAUGGGUAAAGAAGCACCGGCUAACUACGUG
rnacentral:rRNA from 1 species